AUAUAUAUAUAUAUAUGUAUGUAUGUAUGUAUGUAUGUUACUCUCUGCACGGAUAUUUCGAAUUGUUUCUUAUCUUUUCAUUUGAAUUUGUGACACUGAAUGCCAGCUGUUUUAUCUUCUGCACUGGGAUCUCGAGUUAAUAUUUGACUUAAAAAAAGUUACAAAAUUAAGUUACAUAAAGAGGAUGGCUACUCAAUUAAGGUUAUGACAGCGAUGGCCAUGAAAUUAUAGGUUGUCUUUUUAAACUCAACCUCAUUGAUGAGGUUCAUUUUUGUUAGUAUAUGCAUAAAGGUGGUAUAACAUGUAAAUGGAUCGGCAAUUUUUUGGAUAUUUCUAUCUGAUCUUUGAGUAUUUGAAACCCUGAUAUAAGGCAUUCUCAAAUUGGAUCUUCCAAGUCAAUAACGGAAAACCAUAUUCCAUAUUCCCUGAAUCUUCUUUGUUAAUUAAUUAUUUUGGAAAGGUGAAAUUAAUUCCAGUUCUUACCAUACAACUUUGAGGAGUCUCAUUGAUGCCCGAGACCACAAAUAGGCUAGGGGUAACUUAAUUGGCAUUUCUGAGAAGUAUAACUUAAUUGGCCAGUGAAAUGAGAGAAACAGCCCGAUGGUAUUUUUGCUGCUCUCAGAUUUCUUUUGCCCUUGAAGUUGGCUCCCAGAAUUGCAAUUUGAAAUAAGAAUCACUCAAAUA
rnacentral:lncRNA from 1 species